GAACUCAUGGCUCAAUGGUUAGAGCAUUGGACUUCUGAUCAAUGGGUUUGAUUCUCAAUAGGUUUA
rnacentral:tRNA from 1 species